GGCUCUCACCCUCUCUGGCGCCC
rnacentral:siRNA from 1 species